UUUAUUGGGGUGUGAAGAAGGGGACAUUUUGUUGGUGAUGAAUAACGUCUCUCUCGUAUGAAGUCAAGGUAAAACACACUCACGGCGGCGGUGCAGUGCUCUGACGCAUGUACAUGGAUCUUCUGAAUGAAAUCAAUUCAACUGAAGAAUUAGAGCUGGUAAGCGAGGCAACACUGAUCCAGAGGUCAGAUGCUCACCUCUCAUCACCACCCAGAUGCUCAAUGGAUUUGUUUUCACCCGAAUGGCUUAAACUAAAAGCUGCUUCUAACAGCUGCAACAUCCAGCCAGCGUGCUGCGCCCUUGCUGCACUUGUUUCUGAGGAUGUCCAGGAUGCCUGCUCUGACCUCUGGGCUGAAGGAUUUGUAGAAGUGCUCUGUUCCUGUCA